rnacentral:rRNA from 1 species
GAUUGAACGCUGGCGGUAUGCUUAACACAUGCAAGUCGAACGGAAACGAUACUAGCUUGCUAGUAGGCGUCGAGUGGCGGACGGGUGAGUAACGCGUAGGAAUCUGCCUGAUAGUGGGGGAUAGCCCGAAGAAAUUCGGAUUAAUACCGCAUAAUCUAUUCGUAGUAAAGUGGGGGACUUUCGAGCCUCACGCUAUCAGAUGAGCCUGCGUAAGAUUAGCUUGUUGGUAGGGUAAAAGCCUACCAAGGCGACGAUCUUUAGCUGGUCUGAGAGGAUGAUCAGCCACAUCGGGACUGAGACACGGCCCGAACUCCUACGGGAGGCAGCAGUGGGGAAUAUUGGACAAUGGGGGCAACCCUGAUCCAGCAAUACCGCGUGUGUGAAGAAGGCCUGAGGGUUGUAAAGCACUUUCAAUUGUGAAGAAAAGUUAGCGGUUAAUAACCGUUAGCCUUGACGUUAACUUUAGAAGAAGCACCGGCUAACUCCGUGCCAGCAGCCGCGGUAAUACGGAGGGUGCAAGCGUUAAUCGGAAUUACUGGGCGUAAAGCGUGCGUAGGCGGUUUAUUAAGUCAGAUGUGAAAGCCCCGGGCUUAACCUGGGAACUGCAUUUGAAACUGGUCAACUAGAGUAUGGUAGAGGAAAGUGGAAUUUCUGGUGUAGCGGUGAAAUGCGUAGAUAUCAGAAGGAACAUCAAUGGCGAAGGCAGCUUUCUGGACCAAUACUGACGCUGAGGUACGAAAGCGUGGGUAGCAAACAGGAUUAGAUACCCUGGGUAGUCCACGCCGUAAACGAUGAUAACUAGCCGUUGGGGGGAUUUACCCUUUAGUGGCGAAGCUAACGCGUUAAGUUAUCCGUCUGGGGAGUACGGCCGCAAGGUUAAAACUCAAAGGAAUUGACGGGGACCCGCACAAGCGGUGGAGCAUGUGGUUUAAUUCGAUGCAACGCGAAGAACCUUACCUGGUCUUGACAUCCUGCGAACUUUCUAGAAAUAGAUUGGUGCCUUCGGGAACGCAGUGACAGGUGCUGCAUGGCUGUCGUCAGCUCGUGUCGUGAGAUGUUGGGUUAAGUCCCGUAACGAGCGCAACCCCUAUCCUUAUUUGCCAGCACAUCAUGGUGGGAACUAUAAGGAGACUGCCGGUGAUAAACCGGAGGAAGGCGGGGACGACGUCAAGUCAUCAUGGCCCUUACGACCAGGGCUACACACGUGCUACAAUGGGAAGGACAAAGAGCCGCGAAGCCGCGAGGUGUAGCUAAUCUCAUAAACCUUUUCGUAGUCCGGAUUGGAGUCUGCAACUCGACUCCAUGAAGUCGGAAUCGCUAGUAAUCGUAGAUCAGAAUGCUACGGUGAAUACGUUCCCGGGUCUUGCACUCACCGC